GGCCAGUUAACUCAGUCGGUUAGAGUUUGAUGCUGAUAACACCAAGGUUGCGAGUUCAAUCCCUGUUCAGUCCC
rnacentral:tRNA from 1 species